UACCAAAGCUGAACUUCAGCAAGGCCAAG
rnacentral:piRNA from 1 species